rnacentral:rRNA from 1 species
UAGAGUUUGAAUCNUGGCUCAGGACGAACGCUGGCGGCGUGCCUAAUACAUGCAAGUUGAGCGCUGAAGGUUGGUACUUGUACCGACUGGAUGAGCAGCGAACGGGUGAGUAACGCGUGGGGAAUCUGCCUUUGAGCGGGGGACAACAUUUGGAAACGAAUGCUAAUACCGCAUAAAAACUUUAAACACAAGUUUUAAGUUUGAAAGAUGCAAUUGCAUCACUCAAAGAUGAUNCCCGCGUUGUAUUAGCUAGUUGGUGAGGUAAAGGCUCACCAAGGCGAUGAUACAUAGCCGACCUGAGAGGGUGAUCGGCCACCAUUGGACG